ensembl:snoRNA
CUACAGUGAUAACAGUAUUUUUUGUUAACAACAGUUCACCUAGUGAGUAUUGAUAUUUUGGGUCUGAGUGA